rnacentral:rRNA from 1 species
ACGGUCCAGACUCCUACGGGAGGCAGCAGUGGGGGAUAUUGCACAAUGGAGGAAACUCUGAUGCAGCGACGCCGCGUGAGUGAAGAAGGCCUUCGGGUCGUAAAGCUCUGUCCUAGGGGAAGAUAAUGACGGUACCCUAGGAGGAAGCCCCGGCUAACUACGUGCCAGCAGCCGCGGU